AGUGAACGCUGGCGGUAGGCCUAACACAUGCAAGUCGAACGGCAGCACAGUAAGAGCUUGCUCUUACGGGUGGCGAGUGGCGGACGGGUGAGGAAUACAUCGGAAUCUACUUUUUCGUGGGGGAUAACGUAGGGAAACUUACGCUAAUACCGCAUACGACCUACGGGUGAAAGCAGGGGAUCUUCGGACCUUGCGCGAUUGAAUGAGCCGAUGUCGGAUUAGCUAGUUGGCGGGGUAAAGGCCCACCAAGGCGACGAUCCGUAGCUGGUCUGAGGGGAUGAUCAGCCACACUGGAACUGAGACACGGUCCAGACUCCUACGGGAGGCAGCAGUGGGGAAUAUUGGACAAUGGGCGCAAGCCUGAUCCAGCCAUACCGCGUGGGUGAAGAAGGCCUUCGGGUUGUAAAGCCCUUUUGUUGGGAAAGAAAAGCAGCAGGUUAAUACCCCGCUGUUCUGACGGUACCCAAGGAAUAAGCACCGGCUAACUUCGUG
rnacentral:rRNA from 1 species